CUGGUGCAGUUCUCCAACGGCCGCGUGGCACCGGAGGGGGCGCGCAUCGUGUAUAUCGACGGCGCCUUCGACUGCUUUCACCCUGGGCACGUCAAGAUCCUGCAGGUGAUUUAGUGAAUGGUAGUUCUGGUCAAGUGCGCCUCUUGCGUCCUCUCUAGUGCGAUUUUCAGACUUCCCUGUCGGAAACUGGGAGUUUGCACCCUCGGCCUCUGUGCAGCCCCGUCGCAACCUGACCCACUGCUUCCCCGAUGCGCGGCACCUUCCUUGACCAAUCUCCGCAGGCCGCCAAGGCCCAGGGUGACUUCCUGCUGGUGGGGCUGCACACGGACGAGGACGUGCAGGCGCGCCGCGGGCCGCACCUGCCCAUCAUGAACCUGCACGAGCGCAGCCUGUCGGUGCUGUCCUGCAAGUGAGUCGAUUGAAGAUCAAAUUCUGGCUUGGAGCUGCAACAUGAUGCGUUGAGUCCACAAGCUUCGCAUGGGGCUAGCGUAAGAAUCGUGUGAGCUGCAUGACGCAGAUGCCCUGAAAAGCAGUAUGCGCGUGGCG
rnacentral:lncRNA from 1 species